UUCACGCUCUUCCCAUGUUGUUUGUCAGUCAUACUUUGAACUCUCAUGUAGGAUCUAUGUUUUUCUUUUAGUUAGAUGCUUACUUUUUUUUUUUGCAGGUCUUCCUUCUCUGAUUGCAGUUCCUCAAGGGUGUAAAACAUCCAAGUGUCUUGUUAGGUAUGAAGGAGAUCUCUCGGUUGAUGCAGUAACAGAUUGGUUUGCAAUAACGAUACUGAGGUUACCUCGCAUUCCUUAUUACACAAAGGACACAUUGAUUUGCAGAGAGCAAGAGCAAGAGCAGUUGGUAAAUCUCGUCAUCCCAUAUAUAAAUCAUACCAUCCAGAUAGAUGAUAAAGCACUCCAAGAAAAACAAGGUCAAAAUAACGACUCUUAUGGGAAAGCAAAUGUAAGGCUAGUUUCCGAUACCGCGGCCUCCCGCUCUAACUUCUAUCCAAAUACCGUAUGAAGCUGAAGAACAACAUAGAGUAUUUCUGUUGAGUAAAUUCUUAGUGAAUAUAUGAUUUCAACAAAACAAGGAGAUGAAUUUGCCAUUUUUUUUUGUACGUACAUAGAUUAGGUUUAUUUUAGUUGUAAUAUUCUUUCU